rnacentral:rRNA from 1 species
CGAAGGUCCCAAGCGUUAUCCGGAUUUAUUGGGUUUAAAGGGUGCGUAGGCGGGCUAUUAAGUCAGUGGUGAAAGCCUCAAGCUUAACUUGAGAAUUGCCAUUGAUACUGAUGACCCUGAGUACAUUUGAAGUGGGCGGAAUGUGUCAUGUAGCGGUGAAAUGCUUAGAUAUGACACAGAACACCGAUUGCGUAGGCAGCUCACUAAACUGUAACUGACGCUGAGGCACGAAAGCGUGGGGAGCAAACAGGAUUAGAUACCCUGGUAGUCCACGCCCUAAACGAUGAUCACUCGAUGUGUGCGAUACACUGUACGCGUCCGAGCGAAAGCAUUAAGUGAUCCACCUGGGGAGUACGGCCACAAGGCUG